rnacentral:rRNA from 1 species
UUGAACGCUGGCGGCAGGCCUAACACCUGCAAGUCGAGCGGAUGAAGGGAGCUUGCUCCUAGAUUCAGCGGCGGACGGGUGAGUAAUGCCUAGGAAUCUGCCUGGUAGUGGGGGAUAACGUCCGGAAACGGGCGCUAAUACCGCAUACGUCCUGAGGGAGAAAGUGGGGGAUCUUCGGACCUCACGCUAUCAGAUGAGCCUAGGUCGGAUUAGCUAGUUGGUGGGGUAAAGGCCUACCAAGGCGACGAUCCGUAACUGGUCUGAGAGGAUGAUCAGUCACACUGGAACUGAGACACGGUCCAGACUCCUACGGGAGGCAGCAGUGGGGAAUAUUGGACAAUGGGCGAAAGCCUGAUCCAGCCAUGCCGCGUGUGUGAAGAAGGUCUUCGGAUUGUAAAGCACUUUAAGUUGGGAGGAAGGGCAGUAAGUUAAUACCUUGCUGUUUUGACGUUACCAACAGAAUAAGCACCGGCUAACUUCGUG